ensembl:rRNA 5S_rRNA 5S ribosomal RNA
GCCUACGACCAUCUCACCCUGAAUGCGCCCGAUCUCGUCUGAUCUCGGAAGCUAAGCAUGGUAGAGCCUGGAUAGUACUUGGAUGGGAGACUGCCUGGGAAUACCAGGUGUUGUAGGCU